GAGUUUGAUCGUGGCUCAGAUUGAACGCUGGCGGCAUGCCUUACACAUGCAAGUCGAACGGCAGCACGGGAGCUUGCUCCUGGUGGCGAGUGGCGAACGGGUGAGUAAUGCAUCGGAACGUAUCCUGGAGUGGGGGAUAACGUAGCGAAAGUUACGCUAAUACCGCAUAUUCUGUGAGCAGGAAAGCGGGGGACCUUCGGGCCUCGCGCUCUUGGAGCGGCCGAUGUCGGAUUAGCUAGUUGGUGAGGUAAAGGCUCACCAAGGCGACGAUCCGUAGCAGGUCUGAGAGGAUGAUCUGCCACACUGGAACUGAGACACGGUCAGACUCCUACGGGAGGCAGCAGUGGGGAAUUUUGGACAAUGGGGCAACCCUGAUCCAGCCAUGCCGCGUGAGUGAAGAAGGCCU
rnacentral:rRNA from 1 species